AUGGAACGCUGGCGGCAUGCCUUACACAUGCAAGUCGAGCGGCAGCGCGGGGGCAACCCUGGCGGCGAGCGGCGGACGGGUGAGUAAUGCAUCGGAACGUGUCCUCUUGUGGGGGAUAACCGGUCGAAAGACUGGCUAAUACCGCAUGAGCUCGUAAGAGGAAAGCAGGGGACCCGCAAGGGCCUUGCGCGAGAGGAGCGGCCGAUGCCCGAUUAGCUAGUUGGUGGGGAAAAGCCUACCAAGGCGACGAUCGGUAGCUGGUCUGAGAGGACGACCAGCCACACUGGGACUGAGACACGGCCCAGGACUCCUACGGGAGGCAGCAGUGGGGAAUCUUGGACAAUGGGCGCAAGCCUGAUCCAGCCAUGCCGCGUGAGUGAAGAAGGCCUUAGGGUUGUAAAAGCUCUUUUACCAGGGACGAUAAUGACGGUACCUGGAGAAU
rnacentral:rRNA from 1 species